rnacentral:sRNA from 1 species
AUGGCUGUCGUCAGCUCGUGUCGUGAGAUGUUGGGUUAAGUCCCGCAACGAGCGCAACCCCUGUUCUUAGUUGCCAGCGCGUAAUGGCGGGGACUCUAGGAAGACUGCCGGUGCCAAACCGGAGGAAGGUGGGGACGACGUCAAGUCAUCAUGGUCCUUACGUCUAGGGCUACACACGUGCUACAAUGGGCGGGACAGAGGGGGCCGAGGCAGCAAUGCCAAGGCAAUCCCAAAACCCGUCCUCAGUUCGGAUUGUCGUCUGCAACUCGACGGCAUGAAGCUGGAAUCGCUAGUAAUCGUGGAUCAGCAUCGCCACGGUGAAUACGUUCCCGGGCCUUGUACACACCGCCCGUCACGCCAUGGAAGUGGUGAGCGCCCGAAGUCCGUGUCGGAACCCGCAAGGGGCCAAGCGGCCGAAGGCGAGCAUCAUGACUGGGGCGAGGUCGUAACAAGGUAGCCGUAGGGGAACCUGCGGCUGGAUCACCUCCUUAACGGAGCUGCGAGUAAGGCAGACUUGCUGGGGCAACCCAGGUUACUUGCCGGAAAGCACUCACGUGUCGCUCGCCUCGUAACAUCCCGAUCUCAAUCUCGAUUUCCAUUUAUAAAAGAGCCCGACUCAUAAAUCGCCGUGCUGGCGUGAGGGCUCGAAAGAACAUGAGGGACUUGAACGUAAGUCCUUAAGCACCAAGCGAUAGAGCGCUUAUAUCUCGAGAGCUUUUUGACAAUGGAACGUAGUAGUGAUCGUGGGAUUUGAGUACCGGGACCUGAUAAGAUCCUGGUACUGAGAAUCAACACUAGUGACACAAUUUCAUAGAAGCUCUGACCUUCGGGUUGGGGCUCGAUUUGUCUCAAAGAGCUUGCAUAGCUUCGAGAGUCCAAAUGAUUGUAUCACUCGUUAGAUCGCGCGUGUUUCUGUUUGAACAAGUUAUUUGAUCAAGCGAAAGAAAGUAUGUGGGGGAUGCCUAGGUACACAGAGGCGAUGAAGGCCGUGGUAAGCUGCGAUAAGCCAGGGGGAGCCGCACACAAGCUAUGAACCCUGGAUUGCCGAAUGGGGAAACCCGG